rnacentral:rRNA from 1 species
GUGGGGAAUUUUGGACAAUGGGCGAAAGCCUGAUCCAGCAAUGCCGCGUGCAGGAUGAAGGCCCUCGGGUUGUAAACUGCUUUUGUACGAAACGAAAAGCCUGGGGCUAAUAUCCCCGGGUCAUGACGGUACCGUAAGAAUAAGCACCGGCUAACUACGUGCCAGCAGCCGCGGUAAUACGUAGGGUGCAAGCGUUAAUCGGAAUUACUGGGCGUAAAGCGUGCGCAGGCGGUUUUGUAAGACAGUGGUGAAAUCCCCGGGCUCAACCUGGGAACUGCCAUUGUGACUGCAAGGCUAGAGUGCGGCAGAGGGGGAUGGAAUUCCGCGUGUAGCAGUGAAAUGCGUAGAUAUGCGGAGGAACACCGAUGGCGAAGGCAAUCCCCUGGGCCUGCACUGACGCUCAUGCACGAAAGCGUGGGGAGCAAACAGGAUUAGAAACCCCUGUAGUCC